rnacentral:lncRNA from 1 species
GCGUGUUAGUCAUUGAAAGAAAGAGAGAAGACGUUUUUCAAGUGUACGCGUAGUACCAGUAUGAAUGGAAGGGGUAAAUCAUCAAGGACAAGGAGACGCGAUACUAAAGAAGAGUGAGAGGGAAGUUGUAGGAAAAUGCAGUGGUAGGGAAGACUAUAUAGAACGGAAAAAGGUAAAAGAGAGAGAAAGAGAGAGAGAGAGAGAGAGAGAUCGAUAGGCUAAACAUACGUGCCGUCAACGAGGUUCGCCAGUUUAAAACAAGACGUUCGAAGAGACUUUACGUUCAUUCGUUGUUCAGUAAUUGUAACAUAGCACAAUAUUAUUAUUGUUAUUAUCGUUAUAAUAUCUUUAUUCGAGAAAAACAUUAACGAAUACACAAUAUCAAACAAAACAAUAAUUUAUUGUACAAUCGAAAGAUCUAAGCUGGUCUCGGCUGACCUGAUUAAAAAAAACACACGAAAAAUAGUAAACAAAUUUUUGAAAGAAGAAGAAGAAGGAGCAGGAGUUAGGAGGAGGAGACAGACAACAGUUUCUAGAGCACAGAGAAAUAAUACAUCCUUGAGUUUUAAUAUCUCCAAGAAACAUGCCAUUGAGUUAACUAUGCUAAUUAUUACGAGCUAAUUGUGAUACUAGAGUUGAAAGAAGGAGUAACUCAAAUGCUUGCGAAACUCAUUUGAGAGUAUAACGCACAAACAACUAUUAACUUAUGGAUCGUUCAGGAGCCCAUUAUAUCAUGAUUUCGAGCAACCUUGGAACAAGAAUUAUUUUGGACACGGUAUGUAUA